UACAGAGGGGGCAAGCGUUGUUCGGAAUUACUGGGCGUAAAGGGCGCGUAGGCGGCCUUCUAAGUCGAACGUGAAAUCCCCGGGCUCAACCCGGGAACUGCGUCUGAUACUGGAAGGCUUGAAUCCGGGAGAGGGAUGUGGAAUUCCAGGUGUAGCGGUGAAAUGCGUAGAUAUCUGGAGGAACACCGGUGGCGAAGGCGGCAUCCUGGACCGGUAUUGACGCUGAGGCGCGAAAGCUAGGGGAGCAAACGGG
rnacentral:rRNA from 1 species